GGACUUGGCCGCGCUGUAGGCCCAGAAGGGAAGGGUCAGGAGGAAGAGGAUGUCUGCCACCGCCAGGUUGAGCAGGUUCUGGAUUCAUCACUGUCCUGCUUGGGAACAUGGUGAGGACAAAAUGAUGUCCAGGAGCCUUUUCUUUGGCCAUUGCUAGCCUGAGACGAAAAGUCAGUGGCAACCCCUCUUCCCUUUCCUGGGCAUGGCUGCAGCCUGGGAGCCCUGAAGGAGGCUGCUGCCUUUGGCCCAGCCAUGGUUACGGCCCAAGGCCUUAGACCCGGGGUCCCUGGACAUGAGGGGGUCUCAGCCUUCCUGGAGGGCAGUACUCCCGGCCUCUAUGAAGUGCACUCUGCAUCAUCCAGUCCUGCCUUCCCUUCUCCCCUUGAACCUUGUUCCUGUUUUAUAAUUCUCCCUCCCCUAGCCUCACUGCCUCUGCAGCCCACAGCCCCACCACAUCCUGCCCUAUCUGAGCACCCCCUCCCCAAGUGAAAGGGAAGAAUGAGCCUCAGCUGUCCUCCUCCCCUUCCCACCCUUCCAGCCUCCACUGCCAGCAAUACAGCCCCCCAGAGUCCUGGAGACAGGGGAGAGAGAGGAGGGAGUGGUGAUGGGGAAGGGGGCCAGGCUAUGGGCUGCAGCCCAGGCUCCGGGGGGCCUCUGGGAUGGGGUUUUGGGAACAGUGCCCAGCUUGGGGCCUGCCUCUGGCCUGAGCUUCUGGAAAGCUGCCCCUCUGGCCUCCAGACCUGGGGAUGAGCCGAAUUCUGAAGCACUGCCUCUCUAGCUCUGGCCUCAGUUGGACUCCCCUACCCCUACUCUGAGCUCCCACCUCUAACAAAUGGGAGAAAGUUGACUCUGCGAGUUACAGUUUCUUCUAACUUUGGCACUUGGUGAGGCACACUUUCUGUCUGUUUCUGGAUGGAGAAACAGAACUUUGUAAAGUGAGGGUCUUUGUUCCUGCCGAGUUCAGGCCUGCUAUAAAGUGUGUGCUCAUCCACCCCUCUCCCCAUCCCUAGGGCCCCAUCCUCUCUUCCCUCCCCUGCCAGGGAGGCCGGAUGGGUCUCUAUUUCACCAAAGAAAACGGGGGCUGCGAGGGAAGCCUUUGGGUGAAGGUUGGAAAGAGACAACUUUGGGGCGAUAGGAUAGUAACAAGAUCGCCAGAUCCAGGGUGAUUUUCUCAGCACACGUGCACAAAACCCAGUAACAUUUUUUGCUUUUUGCAGCUCUUCUCUCUCUAAGAACUCAGAGUCCAUAUUUCUGUCUCCUGGGCAGGGAGAUUGGAGGUGGGAUAGGGAAGGUGCAAAUGCCCAGCUCCUCCACUAAACCCCUGACUUGGGAGGCCGUGUGGAGAAGGGAACAGAGCUUUCCUUGGCAGAGAACCUCACCUGGAAAAUGACAAGGAGAGCCACCACCAGCACGCUUUUCAUUGGUUUCCCUGUAGGAGACAAGGCGAGAAAGUUAUUGCUUGGCAGGGACAAGUCUUUGUUAUUAAAGAAAGCAGUGGAGGGGGAGACGCUGUUGGGAACUUUCCUCCCAAGCUCCAGGCACUGUGUUUGCUGAAAGAGAACAUCAGAACCAGAUUGUGCCUUUGAACACCUGGCCUGCUGCCCGGCAUCACUGUCCUCACCUCCUUCUUGUCCUCCUCCACUCCCAGGUCCUGGAAAGAAGCAGCAUCAGAAUGCAGGGCAGCCCCUCCCACCCCCUGUCUUGGCCCAUCUGGGCUGCUUCUUGGAGCUGGGAAGUCUUCUCUAGCCCAGACCACCCCUCAAGACUGAGCUUGGUUGGUGGGUCUGAGUGCCCCCUCCCACUCCACCUGAUGUGGGAUGAGGCGGCAAAGCUAUGAGGUCGUGGGGUAGGUGCACACGUUUCCAGCCCUGCUUUGGUGCUGGUAGCCACUGGCCCAGGAGCAUUUUCCUGGCAUCCAGGCCCAGAAUUGAGGAGGUGCCCCACAAUUGUGUGCUGAUGAAUAUAUGAAUGAUAAAUACAUGAAUGAUGAAUAAAUACAUGAAUGACAAGUAAACGAAUGCCUGUCCUUUUUCCAAGGGAGAGGGCAUCAA
rnacentral:lncRNA from 10 species